GGGCCCGCACAAGCGGUGGAGUAUGUGGUUUAAUUCGAUGCAACGCGAAGAACCUUACCAGGGUUUGACAUCCUGCGAAUCUCUUGGAAACGAGAGAGUGCCUUCGGGAACGCAGUGACAGGUGGUGCAUGGCUGUCGUCAGCUCGUGUCGUGAGAUGUUGGGUUAAGUCCCGCAACGAGCGCAACCCUCACUUUUAGUUGCCAUCAUUAAGUUGGGCACUCUGAAAGAACUGCCAGUGAUAAGCUGGAGGAAGGUGGGGAUGACGUCAAGUCCUCAUGGCCCUUACGUGUUGGGCUACACACGUGCUACAAUGGCAUUUACAGAGGGAAGCGAGACAGUGAUGUGGAGCGGACCCCUUAAAGAAUGUCGUAGUCCGGAUUGGAGUCUGCAACUCGACUCCAUGAAGUCGGAAUCGCUAGUAAUCG
rnacentral:rRNA from 1 species